AGACUGGAGAUGGAGAAGCAUAAUAUAUACACUAAUACAACUUAAUAAAGCAGUUUUAGUGUAUAUAUUCUUCUUCUCCAGUCUCACUGC